ensembl:rRNA nuclear encoded rRNA 5S 154
GACUGGGGUCCUACUAGCCUGAGUGCACCUGAUCUACUACAAUCUCAGAAGCUAAGCAGGGCAGGCCCUGGUUAGCACUUGGAUGGGAGGAACCCUCUGGAACUGUCU